rnacentral:rRNA from 1 species
GACGAACGCUGGCGGCGUGCCUAAUACAUGCAAGUCGAGCGGACCGACGGGAGCUUGCUCCCUUAGGUCAGCGGCGGACGGGUGAGUAACACGUGGGUAACCUGCCUGUAAGACUGGGAUAACUCCGGGAAACCGGGGCUAAUACCGGAUGCUUGAUUGAACCGCAUGGUUCAAUCAUAAAAGGUGGCUUUUAGCUACCACUUACAGAUGGACCCGCGGCGCAUUAGCUAGUUGGUGAGGUAACGGCUCACCAAGGCGACGAUGCGUAGCCGACCUGAGAGGGUGAUCGGCCACACUGGGACUGAGACACGGCCCAGACUCCUACGGGAGGCAGCAGUAGGGAAUCUUCCGCAAUGGACGAAAGUCUGACGGAGCAACGCCGCGUGAGUGAUGAAGGUUUUCGGAUCGUAAAACUCCUGUUGUUAGGGAAGAACAAGUACCGUUCGAAUAGGAGCGGUACCUUGACGGUACCUAACCAGA